rnacentral:rRNA from 1 species
AACAGGAUUAGAUACCCUGGUAGUCCACGCUGUAAACGAUGUCGACUUGGAGGUUGUGCCCUUGAGGCGUGGCUUCCGGAGCUAACGCGUUAAGUCGACCGCCUGGGGAGUACGGCCGCAAGGUUAAAACUCAAAUGAAUUGACGGGGGCCCGCACAAGCGGUGGAGCAUGUGGUUUAAUUCGAUGCAACGCGAAGAACCUUACCUACUCUUGACAUCCAGAGAAUUUGCUAGAGAUAGCUUAGUGCCUUCGGGAACUCUGAGACAGGUGCUGCAUGGCUGUCGUCAGCUCGUGUUGUGAAAUGUUGGGUUAAGUCCCGCAACGAGCGCAACCCUUAUCCUUUGUUGCCAGCGAGUCAUGUCGGGAACUCAAAGGAGACUGCCGGUGAUAAACCGGAGGAAGGUGGGGAUGACGUCAAGUCAUCAUGGCCCUUACGAGUAGGGCUACACACGUGCUACAAUGGCAUAUACAAAGAGAAGCGAACUCGCGAGAGCAAGCGGACCUCAUAAAGUAUGUCGUAGUCCGGAUUGGAGUCUGCAACUCGACUCCAUGAAGUCGGAAUCGCUAGUAAUCGUAGAUCAGAAUGCUACGGUGAAUACGUUCCCGGGCCUUGUACACACCGCCCGUCACACCAUGGGAGUGGGUUGCAAAAGAAGUAGGUGGCUUAACCUUCGGGAGGGCGCUUACCACUUUGUGAUUCAUGACUGGGGUGAAGUCGUAACAAGGUAACC